ACGCAGCUCAGAGACGUUAGAGCAAGACCCAAGACUCUCCAACAACAACAACUAUAAAAAGUCGUUUCCUUUGCCUGUUCCUCGCUCUGCUCUCUUAACCCAUUUCUUCUUUUUCUCAAAACCCUGCUCCCUCCCAUAAAGAAUUUUGAAGAAACCCAUUUCUUAACCUUUGAAAGACCUCUCAAAAUUAAGUCUUGAUUAUUGGGAAUUGCAAUGGAAUAGAAAAAAUCGCAUCUUUCAUGUGAUUCUUCUUGUUAUGGAAUAUGAAGUUUCAGACAGUAGUGGUACUGAUGAUGAUCUCCCGCCCUCAAAUCAAAAUAGACUUGUAAGACGAGGAAGAGCUCCAGGAAGUGGGCAAUCUGCUGUAAUUUCUGCAACAUAUUCUAGAGUGCAAGCUGACAUGGAGGCCCAAAUUCAUCACCUCGAACAAGAAGCAUAUAGGGCUGUACUUCGUGCUUUUAAGGCUCAGUCUGAUCAACUUUCUUGGGAUAAGGAGGGUUUGAUUACAGAACUUAGGAAAGAGCUCAGGGUGUCAGAUGAUGAACACAGAGAGAUCUUAACAUUGGUCAAUAGAGACGAUAUCAUUCAAAGGAUAAGGGAGUGGAGAGAGGCAGGUGGCCAGCAAGUUCCCAGGUUGAUUGCUUCACAGUCUGUUCAUGAUGUUUUGUCCAGUCCCACUGUUUCUGCAUCCCGUAAAAAACAGAAGACUUCCCUGGUGUACCCCACUGGUCCUCCCAGAAAUCAACAUUUCAACAACCAUGGUUCCGCCUAUGAUGAUAAGGAAAUUGGAAAAGAAGUGUGGACAAGAUGGCCUGAGGACAACAACUUCUACAAGGCUGUUAUAACUAGAUAUAACCCUGCUGAGGCUCGACAUGCUCUGGUCUAUGAUAUGAAUACUGAAAAUGAGACAUGGGAAUGGGUUGAUCUCAAUGAGAUGGCUCCAGAGGACCUUCGUUGGGAAGUUGAAGAUCCUGGAAUUUCUCAUGGCAGGCCAGGCCAUGUAAUGAAAAAAUCUAUGAGCCAUGGUGGUCUUAUUUCAAGUUCUGUAAGAGGGAGGGGAUCCACUAAGGAUCAAUCAAAAAGGGAAUUUUUUCGAACACAGAAUGGUAUUGCAAGGAAACUUUCUGACAAUAUUGAAUUACUCAACACAGAGUCCCUAGUUAAGGAGGUGGAGAGGGUUUUUGGUGUCAGCUAUCCUGAUCCUCUUGAGCUUGAGAAGGCAAAAAAAAUGUUAAAAGAGCAUGAACAAGCACUUGUUGAUGCAAUUGCAAGGCUCGCAGAUGCAUCUGACGGGGAAAGUGAUGGAGAUCCACGAUUCUUGCAUGGGCAAGCAAUGGAGGAGCAGGAAUGAGGUCGAUGAAACCAGCUAACGUUGGAAGCUCGUACUGGCCAGCAAACAAGCUAUCAUCCAUAUAAUUUGCCCACUAUUUAACCAUCGUGUUUCUUUGAUUGACCUCUCAAUAAAGAUCUCCCCUAAAAGAGUUUAAAGCCCUGGAGAUUACAAUCCGGAGGAAUGGAAUGGCAGGAUUUAUGGAGGCAACAGCAAUGGCGCUUCAGCUGUCAUUGCUUGAAUUGAAAAACUCAAGACUCGUUGUAGAAGGGGAACUGCCUCAUAAUUUCCAGCAAACAUUUAGAAAGAUAAUUAAGAGUUCUGGCCAGUUUAUCCAUAUAGAUAAUUGUUGAUAACUGCUCAUAAUCGCCGGAACUUCCUUGGUCUGUCUCUCUCGGGCCAAUCUGCCAAUACCUCUACUGCCAGAAUUGAAGUGUUUUUGCACAACUUGGACAAUCCAUCACCCAAGUUCAUAUUCACGGCAGCACACUGGUCGCGUGAAUAAUUGCACAAUGCCUGCUGAUUUCGUCACCGUUGACAGGGGCUGCCGCUGCUCAUGGCAUCUUCCUAGUAGUAUGCUUUCACUGUGCACCCCUAGUGCAUUGACCCUCUAACAAAUCUCCCCACCAGAUGAGUUGAAUGCCCUCGUUGGAUCAAACUUAAGGUACCCCUGCCUGCACCUUCUCUUCCAGCUAUCACAAGUAUGUGUUUCCUCGCACAUUAACAUCCUGGUUCAGCACCUAUUCAACUAGAACUCAAUCCGUUGAUUGUACUAAGAGGAAGGAACUUGACGAUCCCGUUGUCAACUUAUUUUGAACCAUUAUAGAGGCAUGUUGUGACUUCGCUCCUUUUUAGGGCCUUGCUCGUCUCCUAUAAUCUCCCUGGAAUGAAAAAGUUGUAAAGCUCCCUUGCUACUUAUGCCAUGCCAUGUCUCUAGAAAUUUGUAUGCAACACCCCCCCUAGUUAUACACAAAGUUGUGUUCAUCCUCUUGGCAAUCCCUCUUGCCAAAAUCCACCCGCACGCAAGUAUGUUUCCAUAAAGCUGGACACUCCUCUUGCGUUCCCAGAGGGUUCAUCCCCUUCUUUGUAAAUAAAACUUAUUAAGCCAAUAUCUAGGAUUUAAUAGGUUAUGAAUUUGAGAUUUUUGCUCGGGUUUCGAA